rnacentral:rRNA from 1 species
GGGUGAUUAGUGGCGAACGGGUGAGUAACACGUGAGUAACCUGCCCCUGACUCUGGGAUAAGCCCGGGAAACUGGGUCUAAUACUGGAUAUGACCUUUAACCGCAUGGUUUUUGGUGGAAAGAUUUAUCGGUUGGGGAUGGACUCGCGGCCUAUCAGCUUGUUGGUGAGGUAAUGGCUCACCAAGGCGACGACGGGUAGCCGGCCUGAGAGGGUGACCGGCCACACUGGGACUGAGACACGGCCCAGACUCCUACGGGAGGCAGCAGUGGGGAAUAUUGCACAAUGGGCGAAAGCCUGAUGCAGCGACGCCGCGUGAGGGAUGACGGCCUUCGGGUUGUAAACCUCUUUCAGUAGGGAAGAAGCGAAAGUGACGGUACCUGCAGAAGAAGCGCCGGCUAACUACGUGCCAGCAGCCGCGGUAAUACGUAGGGCGCAAGCGUUAUCCGGAUUUAUUGGGCGUAAAGAGCUCGUAGGCGGUUUGUCGCGUCUGCCGUGAAAGUCCGAGGCUCAACCUCGGAUCUGCGGUGGGUACGGGCAGACUAGAGUGAUGUAGGGGAGACUGGAAUUCCUGGUGUAGCGGUGAAAUGCGCAGAUAUCAGGAGGAACACCGAUGGCGAAGGCAGGUCUCUGGGCAUCUACUGACGCUGAGGAGCGAAAGCAUGGGGAGCGAACAGGAUUAGAUACCCUGGUAGUCCAUGCCGUAAACGUUGGGCACUAGGUGUGGGGAACAUUCCACGUUUUCCGCGCCGUAGCUAACGCAUUAAGUGCCCCGCCUGGGGAGUACGGCCGCAAGGCUAAAACUCAAAAGGAAUUGACGGGGGCCCGCACAAGCGGCGGAGCAUGCGGAUUAAUUUCGAUGCAACGCGAANAACCCUUACCAAGGCUUGACAUGUUNCCAGACCCGCCUCAGAGAUGGGGNUUUCCCCUUUCGGGGCUGGUUUCNCAGGGUGGGUGCAUNGGUUNNUCNUUCANCUUCNUNUCCNUG